rnacentral:tRNA from 1 species
UUGUGGCCGAGUGGUUAAGGCGAUGGACUUGAAAUCCAUUCUCGUAAGAGUCGCAGGUUCGAACCCUGUCAA